AGAAAAAUAUGUUCCAUUCAUAAAAACUGGAACCAUACAGAGAAGAUCAGUGUGGCUUCUGCACAAGGAUGGAGUGCAAAUUCGUGAAGCCUUUCCUAUUAAA
ensembl:snRNA U6 U6 spliceosomal RNA